GUGAAUCAUCAAAUUUUUGAACGCAAAUUGCACUCUCUGGUAUUCCGGCGGGUAUGCCUGUUUGAGGGUCAGUUUAAAUAAAAAGCGGUGUUUUUGCUUCCUUUCGUGGUUACGCACCGGAUUUGGAUCGUCUUGCCGUCGGUUAAGUGACCUAAAAGUUUACAUGAUUUUUUUCGAGCGUAUUGAAAUGAUUGUACGUACGUUUUCGAUAUCGAAUACUAGGUGUGUUCAUCCUCAUGAUUCGCGCCUAUAAUUUUUAAUCAAACUUACC
rnacentral:misc_RNA from 1 species